UAAUAGUUUGAACCUGGCUCAGGUCGAACGCUGGCGGCGUGCUUAACACAUGCAAGUCGAACGAUGAAGCCCUUCGGGGUGGAUUAGUGGCGAACGGGUGAGUAACACGUGGGCAAUCUGCCCUUCACUCUGGGACAAGCCCUGGAAACGGGGUCUAAUACCGGAUAACACUCUGUCCCGCAUGGGACGGGGUUGAAAGCUCCGGCGGUGAAGGAUGAGCCCGCGGCCUAUCAGCUUGUUGGUGGGGUGAUGGCCUACCAAGGCGACGACGGGUAGCCGGCCUGAGAGGGCGACCGGCCACACUGGGACUGAGACACGGCCCAGACUCCUACGGGAGGCAGCAGUGGGGAAUAUUGCACAAUGGGCGAAAGCCUGAUGCAGCGACGCCGCGUGAGGGAUGACGGCCUUCGGGUUGUAAACCUCUUUCAGCAGGGAAGAAGCGAAAGUGACGGUACCUGCAGAAGAAGCGCCGGCUAACUACGUGCCAGCAGCCGCGGUAAUACGUAGGGCGCAAGCGUUGUCCGGAAUUAUUGGGCGUAAAGAGCUCGUAGGCGGCUUGUUGCGUCGGUUGUGAAAGCCCGGGGCUUAACCCCGGGUCUGCAGUCGAUACGGGCAGGCUAGAGUGUGGUAGGGGAGAUCGGAAUUCCUGGUGUAGCGGUGAAAUGCGCAGAUAUCAGGAGGAACACCGGUGGCGAAGGCGGAUCUCUGGGCCAUUACUGACGCUAGCGCGGAUGUCCCU
rnacentral:rRNA from 1 species